rnacentral:lncRNA from 1 species
AAUGCAUAAAAGUAUUUUUAAACCAAUUUAAACAAAGGAGAAAAAAUAAAAUUCAAGAAAAAUAAAAAUCAAGAAAAUAAAAUAUUGAAAAAUAAAAAUCAGAUGAAUAAAAUAAAAGAUAAUUUUUGAAAUUAUUUUGGUAUUUUUUGGAUGUAAACUAAUUUUUCUUUGAAUGUUAAAAGAAAAUGAAAUUUAAAAUAAAAAUAAAAAUAAAUAAAAUCCGAAAAACAUGGAGCGUUGGAUCUGAAUUCAUUAAUUGAUGUGGAAGAUCCCACAAUCAAAAGGCUGAGACACACGGUGGAAAUUAGCCAAACUAAAACGAGGGAUCUAAUUCAAAUUGGACCAAUCAAAACAUUUCAAAAG